rnacentral:lncRNA from 1 species
AUCAUAAAUGAUAGAUUUUUAGUAUUGAUAUUGUGAUCUGAUGUUGUGACUUGAGUGUCUGAUUAUUCAGCCUUGCACGCCCGUGCGGUCCGCCGUGCGGGUGUGCGGCGUCUGGCGCGUCCCGGGCCUAAGUUCGGGUUCGGGGCGUGACAGAUUUAUUGGUAUCAGAGCUUAAGGUUAAGGUAUCCUAGGGUUUAUGUUCAGGUGAGUAUCAGUGGAGAAUUAUGAUAGAAAAAUUAUCAGAGAUUUGGUUUAUAAUCACUUGAGAUUGUAAUAAGAAUGAUAUUGUAAUCUAAGAUUUAAGACCACUAGGGACUGUGGCCUUAAUGGCACUAGAGUUUGACGUUUAAGACCAUUGGAGAUAGUGACAAAAUUGAAAUUUGAGCAUAUGUUUAAGAUCACUCGGGAUUUAAGACCACUGGGGACUGUAGCAUAAGUGGCAUCAGUGUUUGUGGUUUAAGAUCAUUGGGAUUAGUGACAAAAUUUGAACCCAAGCCUAAGAUUAAGAUCACUUGGGUUUGCGACGGAAAUAUAUCAUAGCUUAAGGUUAUGAUCACUUAGGACAUGACAAUUAAAU